AUUGAACGCUGGCGGCAGGCCUAACACAUGCAAGUCGAACGAUUGGCGGACGGGUGUGUCAUGUAUGGGAAACUGCCCGAUGGAGGGGGAUAACUUCUGGAAACGGUAGCUAAAACCGCAUACCAUCGCAAGUGCCUGGACGGGAUUGGCAAGUAGGUGGGGUAACGGCUCACCUCGGCGACGACCCCUAGCUGGUCUGAGAGGAGGACACGCCACACUGGAACUGAGGUACGGUCCAGACUCCUACGGGGGGCAGCAGUGGGGAAUAUUGCACAAGGGGCGCAAGCCUGAUGCAGCCAUGCCGCGUGUAUGAAGAAGGCCUUCGGGUUUUAAAGUACUUUCAGCGAGGAGGCGUUACUCGCAGAGGAAGCACCGGCUAACGCCGUGCCAGCAGCCGCGGUAAUUC
rnacentral:rRNA from 1 species